UACGUAGGGGGCAAGCGUUAUCCGGAUUUAUUGGGUGUAAAGGGCGUGUAGGCGGGAGCGCAAGUCAGAUGUGAAAACUCAGGGCUCAACCCUGAGCCUGCAUUUGAAACUGUUUUUCUUGAGUAUCGGAGAGGUAAUCGGAAUUCCUAGUGUAGCGGUGAAAUGCGUAGAUAUUAGGAAGAACACCAGUGGCGAAGGCGGAUUACUGGACGACAACUGACGGUGAGGCGCGAAAGCGUGGGGAGCAAACAGG
rnacentral:rRNA from 1 species